CAGGCACUAAUGAUCUCCAGCUGGCCCCUUACCACUCAGGACCUUUUAGUGAGAUCCAGUACCAUGAGCUCAUCUCUUUUUGCUGGAGAAUAAUGUACCUGAGCAGGGACAUGGUUCAUCAGCUUCGUAUUUCUGGGCUCUGUGGUUCUAAUUUAGGAGUACAAGUGAAACUCCCAUGGGCAUCUUCCUUUAUGAAGAAGAAUCUCCUUGGAGGUCAAUGGACUUGCACUGGUUUUCAUUCCUUCUGCCUCGCAAAACACCAGCCCUGUGGCUAUGGCUGUGUGCUGGUGGGAAGACAAAAUGCAUCACCACAGGGCAAAGCAAUACAGAUCAGUCCCUGAUCUGUAUCACAGCCUGGUUGUGUGAGCAUGGUGCUCUAUGCUUUGCUGCUGCUGCCAAAUUAAUGGCUGCCACUUACAGCCUGGGCACUGUGGAAUUAUAGUCAGGAGCUGUGGAAUCAGCUUUCCACCAAUCCUGAUGCUGUGUUUUUCCAUUGGGAUCCUUCAUACUGUGACUUGAGUCUUAUGUGAUGUGGGGUCCCACCCCAAGUGCACCUCAUGAAUGCAUCCACCUUGUUUGUGAAAGGAAAGAGCAGGCUAAAACCUUUUGGAUGGCUUCCAUUUCCCAGGCUGUGGUGAGAUCAGAAGAGUCCAGUAAACUUUCUUUUAUAUAUUUCUGCUGGAGAAUGCAAAAAUUGGGAUUGUAGUAUUUGAGCCCAGAACUUCAGUGAAUAAGUGGAUCUUCAGAACCUCCAUAACACCUGUCCAACCUUUGGUAUCACUGCUGUAGACACUCAUAGCUGCUUCGAGUAAUUAUCAACGUCAUCAGGGAAAUGCUUCUUCAUAGCACAUGGCAAUGUAUCCGUAUCACAUUGACUUUAAUGUUCAGGGAAAAAAAAAAAAAAACAGCAGAUAAAUGAAAUGUCAUGUCACUUUGGAUAUCAGCAGCCCUGACUAGUCAAAGAGGGUGCUGAAGCUGGAGGAUGUCCAGUCUUCAAAUAAGCAGAAAGGAAAACAAAACAUUGUGUUGUCCACCAGGUGAAAGUGACUGUGCUGCAGAAGCUGAAGCCAUGUAGUGAAACCACCACACUGCUUUGAUGGCACUGUGUUAUUAAUAUCCUUCUUUUUCUGGUGUUUGCAAUUAGCUUAGGAGAAAGUCAGCAAGCAUCACUAAGAAUGGCAGCUCGAUCUGAUGCAGAAAUAACCCUGAAAUGGAAAUGAUCUGUGUUUCUCCGCCCUUGACAAAGGAGACCAGAAUUAGUGGCCAAAAUGAUAACUUUCUUUUUAUAAUCAGUUCAAGCUCUUGAACCCUGCACAGGAGGAUGGGCUGAUUGUGGAUAAUGGUACGGAUGAGAUUAUUUGGGAUUUGCACAUCAAGGCUUGCUGGAUCAUUCUACAGCAUGAAGGUCUGCGUGUAGUGACUCAUGGCUUAGUUCCUCGUCCUGUGGAGAUAGUUCAAUCCUGCUAGGCACUGAGCAGAGUUUCGUCCAUUUUUGUGCUUAAGUCAUAAAAAACCCUUACUUCUCUGGCUGUUGGGCUGGCAGGGGAGAGGGAUGGUAUGUCGCUGUGCUUAGAGAAAAUUAGUGAGUUUAUUAAAUUAAAAUCAGCUCAUGUAAUUGAAUUGCAUAGGAUCCAUGACAUGCCAAGUGCAUGUACAAGUAAGUUGGCAGGGCAAGGUUCACCUCCCCUCACACCAUUGUGCUUUUCCAAGGUGCUGUAGCUCUGGGAGUAGCAGUCCUCAGGGACCCUGUGUGGAUACUGGAUUAUUAUUAUAGCUAUGGGAAAUCAUAGAGUAUUAUAGUCUGGCAAAACCUGAAAGGACUUGGUCUGUGUCUCAACGGGAAGUGGGUUUGGACUGGUCUCCAGGUUAUUUCGGAUUCGUGGUGGUUUGAUACAGUCAGUUGCAAAGAUUGUAUCAUUGCUUGGUUUUGAGAGAAAGCAGUUUGGAGCAGAUUUAAGCUUGGAAUAAACAAUCAUCCGGGCUGAUUCA
ensembl:lncRNA